GAUGAACGCUGGCGGCGUGCCUAAUACAUGCAAGUCGAGCGAACAGAUAAGGAGCUUGCUCCUUUGACGUUAGCGGCGGACGGGUGAGUAACACGUGGGUAACCUACCUAUAAGACUGGGAUAACUUCGGGAAACCGGAGCUAAUACCGGAUAAUAUUUCGAACCGCAUGGUUCGAUAGUGUAAGAUGGUUUUGCUAUCACUUAUAGAUGGACCCGCGCCGUAUUAGCUAGUUGGUAAGGUACCGGCGUACCAAGGCGACGAUACGUAGCCGACCUGAGAGGGUGAUCGGCCACACUGGAACUGAGGCACGGUCCAGACUCCUACGGGAGGCAGCAGUAGGGAAUCUUCGGCAAUGGGCGAAAGCCUGACGGAGCAACGCCGCGUGAGUGAUGAAGGUCUUCGGAUCGUAAAACCCUGUUAUUAGGGAAGAACAUACGUGUAAGUAACUGUGCACGUCUUGACGGUACCUAAUCAGAAAGCAACGGCUAACUACGUG
rnacentral:rRNA from 1 species